CUCUCGGCAAUGGAUAUCUUGGCUCUUGCAUCGAUGAAGAACGUAGUGAAAUGCGAUACUUGGUGUGAAUUGCAGAAUCUCGUGAACCAUUGAGUCUUUGAACGCAAGUUGUGCCCGAGGCCUUGCGGUCGAGGGCACGCCUGCUUGGGCGUCAUCGC
rnacentral:rRNA from 1 species